rnacentral:rRNA from 1 species
GAUGAACGCUGGCGGCGUGCCUAAUACAUGCAAGUCGAGCGAACGGACGAGGAGCUUGCUUCUCUGAUGUUAGCGGCGGGCGGGUGAGUAACACGUGGAUAACCUACCUAUAAGACUGGGAUAACUUCGGGAAACCGGAUCUAAUACCGGAUAAUAUUAUGAACCGCAUGGUUCAAAAGUGAAAGACGGUCUUGCUGUCACUUAUAGAUGGAUCCGGGCUGCAUUAGCUAGUUGGUAAGGUAACGGCUUACCAAGGCAACGAUGCAUAGCCGACCUGAUAGGGUGAUCGGCCACACUGGAACUGAGACACGGUCCAGACUCCUACGGGAGGCAGCAGUAGGGAAUCUUCCGCAAUGGGCGAAAGCCUGACGGAGCAACGCCGCGUGAGUGAUGAAGGUCUUCGGAUCGUAAAACUCUGUUAUUAGGGAAGAACAUAUGUGUAAGUAACUGUGCACAUCUUGACGGUACCUAAUCAGAAAGCCACGGCUAACUACGUG